UGGGCAGAUUGAAAAGAAUGACCAUGGGACUCCUCUCCUUCUUUCUCUAGCACGGGACUCCUCUGCUUAUGAUUCAUGUACAAAUCAGCUUCUGCCUCCAGGGAUGGCUGCGGGGACGGGAUCGAUUAUCCGCAGGCAGCCGUUCUCACUUCCCAAACCCUCCCCCCGUUCUCAUAUCGUGCGGAAAAGAAAAUCAUCCCUCGCUUCCAUGCUUUAACUGCCUCAGCGGGGGCCCCAAUGCGAGAGCUAGACGGCCUCCACUACGAGCACGCUGUCAUGGCCCUCAAGUCCUCCGUCUAUCCUUGCAAUCAUGGCUGGUUCCUUCUUGACCGGCUGUACAAAGUCUGGUGCCAAUUUGUUGGGCUAGAAGCAUACGAAUUACUGGAAGUUAGAAUUGGAAAGGUCCCUUUAUGCAUUUGCAUAUAUUACCAAACAGGAGGUUAUGGAUGAUGAGCAGUUGAGGACCGGUGACAAUCUGUUAGUAUUUGAGAACGAUGAUCCAUGGAUUAUUUUGUUCGUAAAUCUGUUCCACGUACUAAUGAAAUAUUAUUUUUUUGAAUUGCUGGAAGCUUUAUGAAUGUAUACGUUUUAUAUUUUGAGUAGUGAAAAUACUGUACUUAUAUAGAAAAUAUAUUUUUUAGUUUUCUCUGUAAUAUGCAUGCAUAUUCUGGGAUGUUUUCCAGGUGGCCCAUGGUUUCUGAUGGAUUUUUCUUGAAAUUGUACACCGAGGGUGCUUUGAUUAACCUGGUAUUCGUUUGAGUGCAACAGUAGUGGCAUAAUAGCCAGGGAUUGCAUGUACGUGUGCAGUUUUGUGAUCGUCCCAGUAUGCAAGUAAAAUGCACUUCAAUACAGCAAUGCAGUUUUGUGCCUCAAGUCAUCGGUCUAUCCCUGCAAUCAACGCUGGUGCGUCCCUUCUCCUAUCUUCACAAAGUUCAUGGAGAAUCUAAAUUAAUUAGGAUCAUCUCAUUAACAUAUUUGGGUAAUCUCACCAGGUUCUUUC